rnacentral:tRNA from 1 species
GGAGAAGUGGCAGAGUGGUCGAAUGCGGCGGUCUUGAAAACCGUUGUACCGAAAGGUACCGGGGGUUCGAAUCCCUCCUUCUCCG